UACGGAAGGCAGCAGUGGGGAAUAUUGCACAAUGGGCGCAAGCCUGAUGCAGCCAUGCCGCGUGUAUGAAAAAGGCCUUCGGGUUGUAAAGUACUUUCAGUCGUGAGGAAGGUGUUAAGGUUAAUAACCUUAGCAAUUGACGUUAGCGACAGAAGAAGCACCGGCUAACUCCGUGCCAGCAGCCGCGGUAAUACGGAGGGUGCGAGCGUUAAUCGGAAUUACUGGGCGUAAAGGGCACGCAGGCGGUUAAUUAAGUUGGAUGUGAAAUCCCCCGGGCUUAACCUGGGAAUGGCAUUCAAGACUGGUUAGCUAGAGUCUUGUAGAGGGGGUAGAAUUCCAUGUGUAGCGGUGAAAUGCGUAGAGAUGUGGAGGAAUACCGGUGGCGAAGGCGGCCCCUGGACAAAGACUGACGCUCAUGUGCGAAAGCGUGGGAGCAAACAGGGAUUAGAUACC
rnacentral:rRNA from 1 species